AACGAACGCUGGCGGCAGGCUUAACACAUGCAAGUCGAGCGCCCCGCAAGGGGAGCGGCAGACGGGUGAGUAACGCGUGGGAACGUACCUUUUGGUUCGGAACAACUCCGGGAAACUGGAGUUAAUACCGGAUAAGCCCUAACGGGGAAAGAUUUAUCGCCGAAAGAUCGGCCCGCGUCUGAUUAGCUCGUUGGUGAGGUAACGGCUCACCAAGGCGACGAUCAGUAGCUGGUCUGAGAGGAUGAUCAGCCACACUGGGACUGAGACACGGCCCAGACUCCUACGGGGGGGAGCAGUGGGGAAUAUUGGACAAUGGGCGCAAGCCUGGUCCAGCCAUGCCGCGUGAGUGAUGAAGGCCUUAGGGUUGUAAAGCUCUUUUGUCCGGGAAGAUAAUGACUGUACCGGAAGAAUAAGCCCCGGCUAACUUCGUG
rnacentral:rRNA from 1 species